CCUACGGUGGGCAGCAGUGAGGAAUAUUGGUCAAUGGACGCAAGUCUGAACCAGCCAUGCCGCGUGCAGGAAGACGGCUCUAUGAGUUGUAAACUGCUUUUUUACGAGGGUAAACGCAGAUACGCGUAUCUGUCUGAAAGUAUCUUACGAAUAAGGAUCGGCUAACUCCGUGCCAGCAGCCGCGGUAAUCCGGAGGAUUCAAGCGUUAUCCGGAUUUAUUGGUUUUAAAGGUUGCGUAGGCGGUCGGAUAAGUUAGAGGUGAAAUCCCGAGGCUCAACUUCGGAAUUGCCUCGGAUACUGUUCGGCUAGAGAGUAGUUGCGGUAGGCGGAAUGUAUGGUGUAGCGGUGAAAUGCUUAGAGAUCAUACAGAACACCGAUUGCGAAGGCAGCUUACCAAGCUACUUCUGACGUUGAGGCACGAAAGCGUGGGGAGCAAACAGGAUUAGAUACCCCUGUAGUC
rnacentral:rRNA from 1 species